rnacentral:tRNA from 1 species
GGGAGCGUGGUCUAAUGGUCAUGACGGCGGUCUGUCGAACCGCAAACGGGAGUUCAAUUCUCCUCGUUCCCG